GUCACUGUAGCGCAAUUUAUAGCGCGUUGAACUUUUAAUUCAAAGGUUGUGGGUUCAAAUUCCUCCUAGGAGGGCC